CGCAGUAAAGUAGUCGGAAUAUCCCUCCAGUGUGUCAACAGAGUCGGAGCAGGCAGUAGUGAAGUCUGCUGUAUCUCACUCUCUCAUCACUUUGCCAAAACCCUGUAUUAAAGAUCUCCUUUCGGGCGCUGGUGCUCUUGUUUACCGCUGAAAAGCACUAAUAUCUCAGAGUGGUAACGAAUCAAAAGCAGCAGUAGCAGCAUGAACCGGUCCGCGCAUCAGGAGAGCCGGCAGCCGCACAGUCUGGCUGCAACGAAACGCCGCGUGGGGGCCGGGACCAUGGACAGCGGCGCAGGGUCGGGCUCCUCGCACUACAAAACAACCCGUAGCAAGCGACACCUGGAGGGGGUCCUGAAGAAAUACACCAACCUGCUCCAGGGCUGGCAGAGCAGAUACUUUGUACUGGACCCAGAGCUUGGUCAGCUCCAGUAUUAUUUGAAUGAACUCAAUAAAAGCCAGCGACCUCCCAGAGGGUCUCUUCCUCUCCUUGGGGCAAUGGUGGUUUCGAGUGAUGAGUUUCCCUACAUGUUUACUGUUCAGUCCACUACUGGGGAUUCUUACAAACUUAGAGCACUGGAUGUCCAGGAGCAAGAGUUAUGGAUGACUCAGCUACAGCUGUGUUCCCGAUGCAACUCUGAUAGCAACGCCAAGGUGAUAAGCCAGGCUGAAGGGCAACAGAAGACCCUGGUCAACUCUAUCGAGUCCCUAUCCCCCCAAGGUGGACCCUUCUCUUCUUUGGAUGAGGACCUACUCCUUUUAAAGGCCACUUCUGCAGCCACUUUGAGCUGCCUGGGGGACUGCCUCACUAUGCUACAGCACAACGUUGUCCAGGCCUUCAACCAGAACCAAAACCAGAACCAGAACCACAUCUCUAGUCCAAGCCCCAGCCACAGUUCAGCUGGUUUUAUUCAGGCAUCUCCCACAGGAAGAGUCAAAUCAUGGAGUCAGAACUGCAGCUCAAGCAUGAACCAGUUGGGGCAUGGUGGCCUUAGGUCUGGCAGUCUAAGCCCGACUCACAGCUUUAGUGAGAGCCGAAGUCCAAAACACAGCAACUACAGUGGAAGACGAGGACAUGGCCAGAACCAGAGCCAGAACCAUGCACAUGCAGAUAGUUCUACUGGAUUGUCCAGAUCUUCUGAAAAGCAGGGGGAAAAUGGUGCACAAACACCUCUCUCGUCCUCUAACUGGUCUUCUUUCACUCAAACACACAAGGACCUGGAAUCCUCAUCUGAGGGACAGCAAUGGGACCAGACUUACUGCCCAGAAACCCUGGAUCCAAGCGAUGAGACCACAGACACAGAGGUUAAUGAGGAAGAGGACCUGGGAGUUCUGGAUGACCAGCGAAGCAUCAUCAUUCACCUCCUGUCCCAACUCAAACUGGGCAUGGACCUCACACGGGUGGUGCUCCCAACCUUCAUCCUGGAGAAGCGCUCGUUGCUAGAGAUGUAUGCCAACUUCAUGGCUCAUCCCGACAUGUUCUUAUCCAUCACGUCUGGCUGCACGGCGGAGGAGCGCAUUGUUCGCUUUGUCGAGUACUACCUGACUGCCUUCCAUGAGGGCCGGAAGGGAGCUGUGGCCAAAAAGCCCUACAACCCCAUACUGGGCGAGAACCUCCACUGUUCCUGGUAUGUGCCUCGGGGUCAUGUUCGAUCUCUCAGGACUACCAACUGUACUGGUGCUAACUCAACACCCGCAGCCACUACCAUUCCUGGGUCCCCGCAGAGGGGGACAGACAGUAGCAGCAGAAGAAACUCAGACUGCUAUCGUGUUAGGUUCGUGGCAGAGCAGGUGUCCCACCACCCUCCUGUAUCUGGCUUCUACUGCGAGUGCAAGGAGAAGAGGAUGUGUGUCAACACUCACAUCUGGACCAAAAGCAAGUUCAUGGGCAUGUCUGUUGGCGUCUCCAUGGUCGGGGAAGGUGUUCUAUAUUUGUUGGAGCACGAUGAGGAGUAUGUGUUCACACUGCCUUGUGCCUAUGCACGUUCCAUCCUGACUGUGCCAUGGGUGGAACUUGGGGGAAAGGUCACCAUCAACUGUGCCAAGAGUGGGUACUCUGCCACUGUCACUUUCCACACCAAACCCUUCUAUGGAGGAAAAGUACACAGAGUAACAGCAGAGGUGAAACACAACCAAUCAGGAAACAUUGUGUGUAAGGCCCAGGGGGAGUGGAACGGGAUGCUGGAGUUCACCUACAGCAACGGGGAAAACAAGGUGAUUGAUACCUCCAAGCUGCCAAUCAUCAAGAAGAAGAUCCGGCCUUUAGAGAAGCAGGGCCAGUAUGAGUCACGGCGUCUUUGGCAGCAUGUAACAGCGUCACUGAAGGCAGGAAAUAUUGACACAGCCACAGAACACAAACACCGCCUAGAGGAGAGACAGCGCAGCGAAGGAAAACAGAGAGAGGCCACCAAGACCCCCUGGAAACCCAAAUAUUUUAUUAAAGAGGGUGACGGCUGGGUGUACCACAACCCUCUAUGGAAAGCUCACUGACCAGGAACCUUGGAAGCAGCUGUUGACUCCCAGACAACUAGUGGGGCGUUAAGGGCCAAGGGCUGGCCAACAAAGACACGGGGAGGGAGAGAAAGAGGGAGGGAGGGAGAAAAAGUUAAGUUUUUAAAACAAUAAUUUAUUCAGAUAAAAUUGAUUCUACAUUUACAAUGUUUUACAACAAAGACAAUCACAGACAACAAUAUGAAACCAAAAAUAAAUCAAUUCAAUUAAUUUAAAGAAUGUGUGUGAAUGUGUAUGAAUGCGUUAGUUUCUGUUCUAUGGCCAUCACUGAGUGAAUGUGUGUGUGAAGGGGGGGAUGUGGCAUGUAGCGUAAAAGUGCUUUGAGUGGUCGGAAAACUAGAAAGGCGCUAUAGUACAGGUCCAUUUACCCCCCCCCAGAUCUCUCUCUCUCACCCCAACUGGUCGAGACAGACGACCACCCACCUAGAGCCGAAGGAUCUGUCCUAGGUUUCUGCCUUUUAACAGGCAGUUUUUCCUUGCCCUUGUCGCCAAGUGCUUGCUCAUGGUGGUACUGUUGAGUCUCUGUAAUUAAUGUUAAAAAGUUCGGUCUAGACCUGCUCUAUUUGAAAAGUGUCCUGAGAUAACUUCUGUUAUGAAUUGGCGCUAUACAAAUAAAAUUGAAUUGAAUUUAAUUGAAUUGAAUUGGAGUAAAAUGUGCUGCCCAGUGUCAGAAAGCUUGGUCUCAUGGGUCGUCCAACACGAUAAUGACCCAAAACACACAGCUAAAAUUACCCAAAAAUGGCUAAGAGCAAAACAUUGGACUAUUCUGAAGUGGCCUUCUAUUAUCCCUGAUCUAAAUCCUCUUGAACAUCUGUGGAAUGAGCUGAAACAUGCAGUCUGGAAGGCACCCUUCAAACCUGAGACAGCUGGAGCAGUUUGCUCCUGAGGCAAUCAAGCGAUUUCUGUAACUCUCAAUGAGACUUAUAUCACUGAGAGUUACAGAAAUCGCUUGUUGCAGUGAUUGCCUCAAAAGGUUGUGCAACAAAAUAUUAAGUUCAGGGUACCAGGGUGUCCAGACCAGUUUCAUUAGUUUGUUUUUUGAAAUGGUUCUGUUGAACCACAAUUCAAAAGCAAUGUCUCAUUUUUAUUAGUUCAUUUUCAGUAGAUUUUUAUUUAUUACUUUUGUCAGUUUCAAGUUAUUUCAGUGACCAUUGUGGGUUUUUCUUUCUUUAACUGAAGUACCAACAAUUUUGUCCACGUGUGUACUUUACUGCACCUUAGUGGAAUUUUGUGUAAGUGCACUCUUAAUGCUAAAAUAAGCAAUCCUGAAGUAUAGUAACCAGUAAUAGUUUGAUCUUCAGCAUCUCAGCUCUAAAAACAUUUUUUCUCUAUUGUCAAUCUCUUGUAGAAGCAAUCUUCACUGUAGUGGUUUUACUGCACUGCAGUGUCAUCAUAUAGCAUAGAUUAGACCAUUUUACCAUAUAGUCAACAAACCUAUGUCUAACACUUGACUGUAGACAGUCGUCUCUAGGGGGGACAGGCCUAGGACUGAACAAUCUCUGUAUUUGUUUAAAAUAAAUAUAUCUUAUCAAA